GUGGAACCCAAGAGGAAUGGCUUAUCCAGUGGUAUUUCAACUCGAAUUCGUAGCAAGCUAUGAUACCCAAUAAAACCUUCUUGAGAUAAAUCAGCCUCCAAGAAGGUGCCCACCAGAUUUCCAAUAGUUUUUGCAUUUUUCAAGUUGAACUGUGUUGGAGGCAGCCCAUGUGCUUGCAACCAAAAAAAGGGACUGUGUGAAUGCUAAUCCAUCGAAAGCCAAAUUUGGCCAUUCCUGCAAAGUAAUGUGUUGGUUAUGGACAUUCCAAGGACGAUUCCUCAAAACAUUUUGAGCGUUUGCUUCGUGCUCAAAAGUAAAGAUGAAGGUGUUAUUUCUUCUUGCAAUAAUAUGAAAACCUCUUUUGGGGUUCCAUGCCUACAUGAGAGCUGCCUUACCGAUCCCCUGACUGAAGGUUUUGUGUGAGAAGAUUUUACCCACUAAAACCCAUUACUAUUAGGUAGAUGUAGAUUCGUGGCUUUCAGCCAGUUGGAGAACAAUCUCUUGAAAGUGGAGAUUCAUGGCCUUAUUGAUGAUUUCUUUGAAGUUAGGUUCAUAGUCAGACAUGCUGGGACGUUGAAAGAUAGUGAGAUGUAAAAGCAAAGAGGUGUAAAUGCAAGAAGGACGUAAUAGGAUGAAAUUGACGUAAAGGGUUGAGAUCUCUUAAACUAAGAGCAAUAAAGUGCAGAACCCUAGAACCUUGCUUCAUGGUUAAUUAUAUAUUUAUAUCACGUAUAAAUAUUUUCACACUUCAAUAAAA
rnacentral:misc_RNA from 1 species